rnacentral:tRNA from 1 species
GGGCCCGUAGCUCAGGUGGUAGAGCAACUGACUUUUAAUCAGUGGGUCGAAGGUUCGAAUCCUUCCGGGCUCA